GACCGCCGGCGCGAACAUGAACGUCAAGGACGCAUCAGGCCUCACGCCGCUCCUCGCCGCCGUUUCAAACGAUAAACCAGCGACGGCCAUGGCGCUCAUUAGAAAGGGGGGAGCAGUCCAUGUAACAGAUGCCUCUCGGCAGUCUUGCCUUCACCUUGCCUCCGCUCAGGGUUCUAGUGAGCUAGUUUCCAUGCUGUUACGCUUUGGUGCGCUCAACCUUCGCAACGUGGAACAGAAGACGGCCUUAUAUCUAGCAGCUGAGCACGGUCACCACGAAUGUCUGGAGAUGUUGGCCGCUGCAGGUGAGCUCACAUCUCCCUAUGGCAGCAGUCGAUCAAGGCCAGACCACCCUUGUCACCCUUAAGGUGCAAAUUGCCUCCGAAAACUCCCAACAUGCAACUACAGAAUGUUGG